GAUGAAGAACGCAGCGAAAUGCGAUACGUAAUGUGAAUUGCAGAAUUCAGUGAAUCAUCGAGUCUUUGAACGCACAUUGCGCCCCCUGGUAUUCCGGGGGGCAUGCCUGUCCGAGCGUCAUUGCUGCCCUCAAGCACGGCUUGUGUGUUGGGCUUCCGUCCCUGGUAACGGGGACGGGCCCAAAAGGCAGUGGCGGCACCAUGUCUGGUCCUCGAGCGUAUGGGGCUUUGUCACCCGCUCCCGUAGGUCCAGCUGGCAGCUAGCCUCGCAACCAAUCUUUUUAACCAGGUUGACCUCGGAUCAGGUAGGGAUACCCGCUGAACUUAAGCAUAUCAAUAAGCGGAGGA
rnacentral:misc_RNA from 1 species